AUUGAACGCUGUCGGCAGGCCUAACACAUGCAAGUCGAACGAGUGGCGGACGGGUGAGUAAUGUCUGGGAAACUGCCCGCUGGCGGGGUAUAACUACUGGAAACGGUAGCUAAUACCGCAUACCAUCGGAUGUGCCACGAUGGGAUUAGCUAGUAGGUGGGGUAACGGCUCACCUAGGCGACGAUCGCUAGCUGGUCUGAGAGGAUGACCAGCCAAACUGGAACGGAGACACGUGCCAGACUCCUACGGGAGGCAGCAGUGGGGAAUAUUGCACAAUGGGCGCAAGCCGGAUGCAGCCAUUCCGCGUGUAUGAAGAAGGCCUUCGGGUUUUAAAGUACUUUCAGCGGGGAGGCGUUACCCGCAGAAGAAGCACCGGCUAACGCCGUGCCAGCAGCCGCGGUAAUAC
rnacentral:rRNA from 1 species